AUCUGGUUGAUCCUGCCAGUUUAUCUUGGUUUGGCCUGCCAGUAGUCAUACGCUCGUCUCAAAGAUUAAGCCAUGCAUGUGUAAGUAUAAAUAAUUCUACUUUGAAACUGCGAAUGGCUCAUUAUAUCAGUUAUAGUUUAUUAGAAAUAAUUUACUACUUGGAUAACCGUAGUAAUUCUAGGGCUAAUACAUGAGUAAAUCCUCGACUUUGAAGAGGUGUGUUUAUUAGUAUGAAAACCAUAUGCUUUUGCAUAAUAGUGAGUAAUAAUAACCUUUCAUAUCGUAUGUUGUAAUAACGAUAGUUCUUUCAAGUUUCUGCCCUAUCAGCUUUCGAUGGUAGUGCAUUGGACUACCAUGGCAGUAACGGGUAACGAAGAAUUUGGGUUCGAUUUCGGAGAGGGAGCCUGAGAGAUGGCUACCACAUCCAAGGAAGGCAGCAGGCGCGUAAAUUACCCAAUCCUGACAUAGGGAGGUAGUGACAAUAAAUCACAAUGCGGGACUUUUAGUUUUGCAAUUGGAUUGAGAACAAUGUAAAAGAGUUAUCGAUAAACAAUUGGAGGGCAAGUCUGGUGCCAGCAGCCGCGGUAAUUCCAGCUCCAAUAGCGUAUAUUAACGUUGUUGCAGAAAAAAAAAGCCUCCGAGCUUUUUAACUGCAACAACG
rnacentral:rRNA from 1 species